AAAUGUGCUUCUAGAUGUCUGCUACCAUGAAAGAGUUCCCUAAUGGAAGACACCAGACACAGAAGUCAAAAUUACUAAGACCACAUAAGCCAAGGAAAUUGUAUGUGCAGACUAAUAUGUUUUCAGGGAAAGGUGUAAUUAAGUGUUCAAGAGACAACAGAAGUAGUGCUUACUGUGCCCUGGGAAGCAACAGGAGAGAAGAGAAAAAGAGGAAGCUAAAGGAUGGAGAAGGGAAAGGGAGGAAGAAAACCUUUAAAGAGGACCUGCUGCCAGUGAUACCCUCCAUGGUCAGGCGCCACCCUAUCUUGCCAGGAGCCUCUGCAGCCCACUCCAGAACCCCCAGGAGGAGCCAUGGCUUGCUUUUGGCUGAACAUUAGAACCCAGGGAUCCAAACCUAAAAGGAGAAAUGAGCAAAAGUAAGGAGGGAGCAAUUGACACCUGAACCCCUGGACAUUCUGACCUUUGGCUUGGUUCAAUUUGGAGAGCCUAACAUCCUUGGGAGAAGACAUCCACGCUUCGCCCGGGACCUGUCCAGAUGCUGCCUCUAAUUUCUUAGGAGCUGAAGCCAGAGAAAAGUUGAAUGACAAAGACAGCCAACGUUCUAUAGCUCUACACUGCCACCUGCUGGAAGCUUCUCUGCUCCUGAAACUGACUAGUCCUAAACCUGGGCUGCUGAUACUUUCCUGCUUGGACCACUCUAAUGAUGCUUCUGGACAGAGGAUUAAUACGUUACAGUUUUAUCUAUGCAUUUGCUAUGUGAUUAUGGCCCGGGUAACCUCCGUGACCCUCUCCAAGCCUCCAUUUCUCCCU
rnacentral:lncRNA from 1 species